rnacentral:rRNA from 1 species
AACGAACGCUGGCGGCAUGCCUAACACAUGCAAGUCGAACGGGAUCCUAGCUUGCUAGGUGAGAGUGGCGGACGGGUGAGUAACACGUGGGAAUCUGCCUUUUGGUUCGGGAUAACCGCGGGAAACUGCGGCUAAUACCGAAUGCCCUCGAGAGAGGAAAGAUUUAUCGCCAGAAGAGGAGCCCGCGUCCGAUUAGGUAGUUGGUGGGGUAAAGGCCUACCAAGCCGACGAUCGGUAGCUGGUCUGAGAGGAUGAUCAGCUGCACUGGGACUGAGAUACGGCCCAGACUCCUACGGGAGGCAGCAGUGGGGAAUAUUGGACAAUGGGGGGCAACCCUGAUCCAGCAAUGCCGCGUGAGUGAUGAAGGCCUUAGGGUUGCAAAGCUCUUUUGCCAGGGAAGAUGAUGACUGUACCUGGAGAAUAAGCCCCGGCUAACUUCGUGCCAGCAGCCGCGGUAAU